AACAUGCACCAGAACCAGAGCUAAAUAUUAUUGGUAUUCCCAGAGUGGGAGAGCAGGGCACUGUGUCCUGGAGUGUGCGGCACACAUGUAUUUCUGCUCCCCCAACUGUAACCCUAAAUGGUAUACCUGGAAAAGAUCAGAUCAUGGACACACUGGUAUCUGAUGGGAUUUGGGAAAGGACAGUAGAACGAGUUUGGGAAGUAAAAGAAGAUCACCAGAGUGUGACUUGUACUGUUAGCUACUCUGGGGGUCAGAAAGCCACCAAGGAAAUUCCACUCAACGUUGAAUGUCCAUUUCAGGAAAUUACUAUGAAUGAACCACCAGGGGAGUUAACGAGGACAUGGCGAAGAAUGUCACUUGCUCUGUUAUCUUUAAGUGCAGGAAAAACACACCAAGUGUCAUCUGGAACUACAACAACAUGCAAAGUUCAUUAAACACCAAACAGACUCCCAACAAUACAUACACUAUAGUGUCAAAUCUGACUUUUAUUCCCUCCCUAAGUGAUAAUGGUAAACUUUUGACUUGCACUGCUCAGUUUAUUAGUGGAGAGUUCUCAACGUCUGCAACUCUUACUGUAAAACGUGAGUUCCUACAUGUCGCCCUCCUGAUCGUUUGAUACUUUACAAAAUAUACCUGUUAGCUUUCUGUUGGAAAACUGAUUUUGUUAGAUUGGUAAAAAAUAAAUAAAUAAAACAAUAAAGCCAGCCGCCAAUUAGCUCAGGUUAGCACAAAUACAAGAAACUAGAGGAAGCCAUUAGCUUGACUAGAGUUAAAGCUAGCGUGUUUGAUUUAGGUACUGUAUAUGAACAUAUAGCUGAGUCAUAAGCUGGAAGUCACUGAGAAGGGAAAAGAGGGAGAAAUACAAAACUUUUAGAUAAUGUAUCCAGAAAGACAUUUUACAUGUGCAUUAAAGUGCCAGACCUGUAAUAGAUGGGCAACUAGUCCAAGGUGUAUCCCACUUUUCACCCUAUGACAUCAGAGACAGGCUGCAAUACCUCCUCAAGUGUAAAUUGGAUCAGCAGAAGAAAACUGAAGGAUUGCUGGAUGGAUGAAAAGUGCCACAAAACAUUUGUAAAGAGAAAACUAGAAAGAAAAGUAUAAAACGUGCCUCCAUCUAGAUUUAAAAGAUUGUCUCCAUUAUUGUCCAGGGACCAACAAAUUUUAUAACACUUUUCAACUCUUAUAACUGUUUUUAUAAAUCUGAACCAAUAGGCUUAUGGCUUUAACCUUACAUAUAAGACCUACUUUAAUUUAACUGUCCAAAAACACAAAAAUACUCCUCCAGAUGUUGAAGUGUUAUUAAUUAGUUGUUAUCAUUUUCCCAGCAUAUGAGAGAGAUCCAUUUGAAAAUUACAGUAAGUGCACUUCUCAGCACUCUCAAACUCUUUUUGUUUUCAUGUCACAUCUCAAGAGGACUAACCAGCGUCUAACAUUAGCUUUUUUUUUCCCAUUACAGCAACCUCUGCUUUGCCUGCCGACGUCCCUUUAAGAUUUAGUGCCUUGACUCGCUCCUGUGUGGUGAUUCCCUGCAGUUUCCAGUACAAAGAGAAUGAACCGAUGACCCGUAGCAUCUGGUCCAAAAAAAGUGGAUACAUUGUAUUCCAUAAUGGCCAAAGCUAUGUAAUUGACCAUUUUAAGGGCCGAACCAAAAUGUUAGGAAAUCUAAACGAGGGAAACUGCUCACUGGAGAUUGAUGACAUCAAGCCCUUUGACAAUGGACCCUUCUGUUUCUAUGCCGAGAAAGGACAUGAGACACAUACAUUUAACAACAGCUGUGUAUUUAUUCUGAUGAAAGGUUUGGAGUCCCACUAUAGAUCACUGAAAUGUGACAAACACAUUGCUUUCUAAGUAUCAAGUAUAAUCUCCUUUGUGUUUGUCAUGCUCAGCUUCUCCAGAAAAACC
rnacentral:lncRNA from 1 species